rnacentral:lncRNA from 1 species
CGCCAGCCAAUUUCACUGUCACGCUUUGUGCCUUCUGCAUCAUUGGCCACUGGAUCCAUAUUUGCAGGCUUGCAAGAUUCAUCUUCAUCAACUAGUCACUCCAAGAACUCUGCAACAAAUUCUAGCACAAGUUUUACAAAUCUGCAGAAUAAACUUACCUUGAACCAUGCAAAUUCUUCAGUAAUCAUGGAAUCCUCAUCUGCUUACAAUCUUAGCUCUGUUUCGACAUCGUUAGGGACUAAGAUGAUGUCAUCAUCAUCAUCUAAUCUUGAGUUGUCAGGAACAUCACUAUCAACUUUCCCUUCGAGGUAUUCUG